GAACUCAGAAAAGUACCUACAGCCUGCAGAUUCGCACCUGUCCCUUUCAUAUACUAGCCGUGUUCUUCGCCUCUUGAUAGCCACCGCAGUUGAGAGAAUACCUAGAUUUGAUAACUUCAGGUCAGAGUGACAUUGGUGAGAGCUUUUGAGAUUGUGUCCAUUUAACCAAACUCAAGUCACUGUGGGAAAUUUGCUUUCUUAUCUUUUUGGUCAUUUUGAUGCCUUCUUUGAAGAACAUAAUGGCUCCAGUCUCACUCCCAAGUUAGUUGUAAAAAGAGAUGUUAUCUAAACGCAAAGUACUAUUCUGUUCAGUGAAAUCCUUUUUUCCUUCGGUGAAAUCUUUUAUAUCACCAAGUGAAUCCAUCUGUAAGCUACCUGUCUAAAAUUGGGGAGAAAAUGGCCAGCAGCAACUCCCUUUAAACAAGUGUCAUAGAGUAGAGCUGACACUGCAUGUCUCAUUGUCAUUUGAAUGCAUCUCAUGUCUCAUCCCACUUUCUAUUUUUUCUUUUUAAAAUCAUCAGUAUUUAAAUCUCAUUAUUUUAACUAUAUCCAAUUAAAUGUACUUGCAUAAUCAGUAUACUUUGUUACAUGCAUUAGUAAAGAGAGCACUUUUAGAUGCUUUGCAUACUGGCUUUCUCAACGUAUUAAAUUUGCAUACCUUAAAAUAGGUUUCAUGUAGAAGUUUCAGAAAACACAUGUGACAGGUAUAUAAAUCAGAUGCCAUAUGCUUUACUUGUUAAAAUAUGUUUGUAAAAGGUCUUUCCUCAUGUCUUAAUUUGGCUUCCUUCUUUAAAUUAUUUUUGUAGCACCCUUUCUGUAACCUAGAUGUUUGUUCAAAGUGAAAAUAAAAUACCGGCAAGAGAAAAUUUUCACAUAUGUAUGUAUUUGGAAGAAUUCUUGUUCUGUAAAAUGCUUCACAGUUUUUAAGCACUGAGUAGUUAAUAAUUGCUGUUCAUCAGGGUAUUAGGCAGUGUGAUACGUGGGGCACCCAUGAGCAUGAGAGUCACUGCCAUUUGUUAGUGGUGGUUCUGGCAGGGUGCUGAAUCCUUUGAGCAUGGCAGCCUCACCUGCACAGUGAGGACAAGAUUAAUACCUACUUAUUGUGUAAGUGAUUAUGCUGUCAAUAUUGAUUUAUAACUUUUACAUUACAGAGUACAGUGAUGUUUAAUACUUAAGUUACUCAUCUGAAAUAUUUUAAAGUUGCCUAUGAACUUUUCAUGGCAUUAGUCCCAGAAGAGAGAACUAAAAUAGCUUUUCCUAACAAGCUUUCAUCACUGUUGCCUCAGCGUUCUCAACUACAAAGAAAAGACUGGCAUGGACUAAGAGAGAGAUGAAGACAGGCUGCUGGUUCUCCACCAAAUGGUUAAGAUCCACAGGAGAUCAGCAAGCUGAUAUGUUGUUUAGUGGCAAGAAGUGGAAAACAGUGAGUUCAGCAUCACCCUUCCAUACGUCACAGAAUUCAUGUUGUUGACAAAUAUUUGGAUCAAACUAAUUUUUACUACCUUAAGUUAAAUUAGCAUUAAGCCCACCAAGCAUGUAAUUUAUGUAGCAUUUUUUGGAUUUUAUAGUUGAACAGUAUUACUGUUAGUAAAUUUAGCAAUCUGUCAUAUAUAUAGUAGCCAAUUGUUAAAUACUUCUGUGAAUUUUGUUACCUCGUUACAGUAACAAAAACAGGGUAUUAUUUGGAAAAUAUUUGGGCAGGAAAGAAGAUAGCAGCUGGUUUGUCCAUUAUGGUGAGCAUGUGGAAUACUGAGUGUGUGCAGGUGCCAAUGCUUCUGUUGGAGUUCUAGCAAGCGCACACACUUUCAUUGGUAUUGGUAUGCAUAAUAGAUAAAAUGCCAACCGUCUGCUUGGACUCCUAAAAGUCUUUUUGUAUAUAAUAAAUUUAUGUGAACUUCCAAAA